AUGUCCUCCACCGCGUGCUCCAGCCACAGCACCUCGCCGCCCGGCGCCCAAGGGGCCAACUGGGGAAUCGGCUCCGCUGCCUACCUCGUGUUUGAUCCUGCCGUGUCUCUCCACUUCGAGGUGUUCCUACUCCCUGACCAGCUGCCCGAGAUGCCCGAGCCCCCUGUACCUGUCAAGUCGUCACCACCGCCGUUCAAUGUGGGAAGGCUCUUCAUGUCCGGAGGUGCAGAUGGCGAUUUGUGGCCAGAGGUCGACACCGACGACGACGACGACGGAGAGGAUUGGUUUGUGGAUUCACAAGAGGAUCAAACACGUCCGCAUUAUUAUUCGAGCGAGCGUUGUGAGGUGAGGGACGCGAUGGGCCUGAUGGAAUGGCCACCGCCGGUAUACGUGGUGCAGGUCUUCUCAUCUGUCACCGGACAGUGGUCGGAGAGGACUUUUGUACGGAAAACUGACCCAGCAGGGAUGGUGGCAGACAUGUGGCCGGAUUACUCAUCAAUCAAUUUGGGUUGGUCACCCGCCACGGAUUGGUCACCUCGUGUGCAAAGACGUGAGGUUCUUAUCAAGGCGGUGGCGCAGGCCCUACCCACCUUCCUAAUGAGUUUGUUUAAAUUUCUUAGAAGCAUCUGCGAUGAUUUGGGGCGGAUGAUUCAUAGCUACCGGUGGGGCGCGUACAGAGGCAAGAGGAAAACCCACUGGAAAUCUUGGGACUCGCUGCUGAGGCCCAAAUCGGCUGGGGGUAUGGGAUUCAAGGACUUCAGACUCUUCAACCAAGCAAUGUUAGCUCGGCAAGCAUGGCGUAUUUUGGUCAACUCGGAAUGUCUUUGUACGCGCGUCUUGAAGGCAAGGUAUUUCCCUAAUGGACGAUUAGAAGAUACUGUUUUCACUAGCAACGCGUCGCAAACUUGGCAAGCCAUUGUGCAUGGGUUGGAAUUGCUGAGGAAAGGCUUAGUCUGGCGCAUCGGUAACGGGCAGUCGGAGAUACUAAAGAUUAAAGCGUCCCCUCGGCUGGGGGCCGAUUUCCUUGCAUGGGGUGCAGAAUGUACUGGUAUCUUCACCGUACGUAGCGCGUACCGGCUGGCGCUUGAGGACAAGCUUCGUCCCUCUUCAGUUGCAGCGAGCAGGGCACCGGACGGGCGACGUGCCGCCUGGGCAUUAUUAUGGAGGUGCCCUGCUCCUCCUAAGGUGCGUGUGUUUGCAUGGCGUUUGGCUACUAAUUCCCUUGCCACAUGGUCUAAUAAAUUCAGUCGACACAUGGAGGUUACUGAUAUAUGCCCAUUAUGUGGUCUCGAGCGCGAGGACACUUUUCAUGUGUUUUGCAGGUGCCCUCGGGUGGUGCAUUUGUGGAGGACUAUGGCGGAGGUGUGGAGUAUACCGGACAUCGAGUCAGUCCGUAACACCGGCCCGGAUUGGCUCCUGAACCUAAUUGCAGAAAAGCUACGUAACCUCACUGCUCGGGAUCCAGCAGUAUCCGCAGGGAGAUUGGGACAAAGGGAAGAUGACCAUCCAACAAGAAGGUGCAGAACAGCCUAUAUCGCAUGUGGGAGGUGUGCCACGAACAGCCCACAAAUGGAGUCCCCACCCGCCAACUGGACGAAGCUGAAUGUCGACGGCUCCUUUUCCCAUGAUGACGGGAGGGCCGGGACGGGAAUGGUGCUCCGUGACCAGGAAGGGGCCAUUAUUUUCUCCGCGUGUCGCUCGCUAUGGUCUUGCCCGGACCCUCUACAUGCCGAGCUAGCUGGGUGCAUGGAGGGCAUAGCUUUGGCCCUCCAAUGGACGGAGCUGCCGUUUAUCGUUGAGUGCGAUAGUCUGCAGGCAGUGCAACUGAUCAAUGCCUCAGGACAAGACCGGUCGCAGUAUGCCAUGGUGGUCUCGGAAGUGAAGCAUCUUAUGAGUGAAAGGGAGUGUCAUGUUAUUCAUAUUUCUCGAGAGCAGAAUAAUCCGAUAACGUAUCUAGGCAAGUCAAAGAAAGGGGUGUACUACACCGCAACCGACUACCUCAAACUCCGAGUAUGGCUAUUGACAGAAGAAACAGCUGAGGCAUCUCGUGGGGCACUACCGGUGUGGGAGAUGAUUCACAAUGCUGACCUCGAGCCUCCGUUGAGCCAACUCCCGCAUGAAAAUUGUGAAGAGAAGGACAAGUCGUGGAUCUUGGAUCAUGAAAAGGCUGUACAAAUAGAACAAGGAUACCGAGAGUGGGACUCGGACAAUGAUGAUAGGUUUGUUUCUAAUGAUGAACAACAUGACGAAGAUGAUGAAAAUUAUGACUAUGCCGAUGGCGGCUAUAUGACCAUGAGUUCAUUGGACUUGCUAGGAUACCAUCCUCACAAGGAGAUUAUCCUCUUGGGCAGUCGAGAUGUUGGCGAUGGUUGUGCGUUCGCUUACUAUCUGGACACGAUGAAGUGUGAGUAUUUGGGAGAUCUUUAUCCAGUACGAGGUGAAUGGAUUACUUUUUGGCCCAAAGUACGAGAGUCUUAUGUGUACACACCAUGUAGUAUCGACCUUCUUCCUGAGCAGAACGAUGUGAUGUAA
rnacentral:rRNA from 1 species